rfam:Chelonia mydas contig147966, whole genome shotgun sequence.
AUACUCUGGUUUCUCUUCAGCUCUUAUAAAUCUUUCGUCUUUUACUAAAGAUUUCCGUGGAGAGGAACAUUUAUGAGUUUCUACCAGACUCCUGUACCCCACUGGUCUGAGUCUGU